AUUGAACGCUGGCGGCAGGCCUAACACAUGCAAGUCGAGCGGAUGAAGGGAGCUUGCUCCUGGAUUCAGCGGCGGACGGGUGAGUAAUGCCUAGGAAUCUGCCUGGGAGUGGGGGAUAACGUCCGGAAACGGGCGCUAAUACCGCAUACGUCCUGAGGGAGAAAGUGGGGGAUCUUCGGACCUCACGCUAUCAGAUGAGCCUAGGUCGGAUUAGCUAGUUGGUGGGGUAAAGGCCUACCAAGGCGACGAUCCGUAACUGGUCUGAGAGGAUGAUCAGUCACACUGGAACUGAGACACGGUCCAGACUCCUACGGGAGGCAGCAGUGGGGAAUAUUGGACAAUGGGCGAAAGCCUGAUCCAGCCAUGCCGCGUGGGUGAAGAAGGUCUUCGGAUUGUAAAGCACUUUAAGUUGGGAGGAAGGGCAGUAAGUUAAUACCUUGCUGUUUUGACGUUACCAACAGAAUAAGCACCGGCUAACUUCGU
rnacentral:rRNA from 1 species